UCAUUCAUCAUAGAACCGCCACCGCCAAUGCCACCGGAUGAUGAUGUCGUGGAGAAUAUGAUGGGGAAACCGCCACUUCCACCGCCACCGGUGCUGAACGGCGGAAAUGCCUCGGAUGUGAAGGAGAGGAAAGGAUUCGGAACGGGGCUAGGGUUAGGGUUUGGGCUUUCCAUUUCUUCAACGAAGCUAUCGUUGCAGUUGGGGCAUAAAAGAUCGGAGGAUGAUGAGGGAGUAAUGGUUACCGUACGAUUGCAGGUAUAGCAGAAGUAGAGCUGAGGGGCAUGGGAGGCGGCGCCACCGCCCGCUCCGUCGCCAGAG
rnacentral:misc_RNA from 1 species